ensembl:lncRNA LINC02073 long intergenic non-protein coding RNA 2073
ACUGGAGGAAUAAACCUUUGUAGAGGAAGGUUUGAUGGGCUUUCCUGGAAGAAGUACUCAUAGGAAAACCCAAAAGCUCAACAGAUGCUGUCUCCUUGGUUAACAUUAGGAGCUAUGAUCUCCAUCUUCCCAUGGCAUUAGAGGUUUAGAUACUGAGGAUCAGAGAGGCAAGUUCAGCAUCAGAAGGCAGGAAGAGGCAGAAAUCUGGACACCGAUUCCUAACUCUAAAGCUGCGUCAUCUCUAGUGCAUCUCAUCAGCUCUUCCCAAUGGCACCAAUCAACUUUAGCAUACUGGCCAGCCGGAAUAGAUGUCCUUGGGCAUUCUUAAGAUCUGAGACUGUGAUGGUUAAUUUUAGGGUAUCAGCUUGACUGGGUUGAGGAAUGCCUCAGUGGCUGGUGGCGUCCAUCAUUCCUGGGUGUGUCUGUGAGAGUGUUUCCAGAGGAGACUCACAUGUGAGCCAGCGGGCUGAGAAGGAGACCCGUUCUCAGUGUGAGUGUGCACUGUCCAAUCAGCUCAAGGCCAGGCUGGGGACAAACAGGCAGAAGAAGGAGGAUUCUCUCUCCCACCUUUCUGGAGCAGGAUGCCUUUUCUCCUUGGACAUCAGACUACAGGGUCUUUGGCUUUUGGAUUCUAGGACUUGUACCAAUGGCCUCCCGGGGCCCUCAGGCCUUCAGCCUCCAACGAAGGUCUGUGCUGUUGGCCUCCCUGAUUCUGAGGCUUCUGGACUUGGACUGAGGCAUGCUACGGGCUUCUCUGAUUCUCCAGCUUGUGGAUGGCCUAUCAUGGGACUUCUCCACCUCUGUAAUCACAAGGGCCAAUGCCCCCUAAUACCUUUCUUUUCAUAUAUCCUACUGGUUCUGUCUGCCUGGGGAACCUUGACUAAUACAGAUAUGGAGCAUUUGAAAUGAGAGGAUUUCUGAUCCUGUUCUUCAAGAAGCAGUAGGUCAGAGCAUACCUCUUUAAAAUAACUUCUGGAUAGUUUCACAGUUAGAAAGAAUCAGCUUCAGGUGAUCUUGAAGAUCCCACUUGGAUUCCACUCUCCAGCUCUCAGGAAGCUCUGGCUUCCUUACUUCUUCUGGGAUUUUCCUUUCAUGCUGGGGAGAGAUGCUCCCUCACCACUACCCAGCCCAUGGGACACACCGAGUCUGGUGGAGGAUGCUGUGACCUGUGGUGCUUGUGAUUGCGUCUUACUGUGUCGCCCAGACUGAAGUGCAGUGGUACAGUCUCAGCUCACUGCAACCUCGGCUUCCCAGGCUCAAGCAAUCCUCCUGCCUCAGUAUCCCAAGUAGCUGGGAAAACAGGUAAAAGGGAAGCAAAGGAAGAAAGAAGAAAAGAAGACAACCCAUGUAGGAUGUUAACCAGGUCACUGGUUUUAUUGUCACAUGCUUUUAAAAGAACAUGCAUGAGUGAGCUGUCUCACUUUCCAAUCCAAGAAUGUUUGAUUCCACUGUGAUGAAAAAUUCUGUGACCUGGCAGGAAAACACUACAAGAAGGGCAGAAGCGGAAAAUUCUUUCUAUUUUCCAAUAUGGCUUUCUUUGAUUCAAGAAAGGCCUCCUCUCCUCCACAUCUCUGUCCUGCUCAUGACCCCAGAAGAUCUCAGGUUGACUGCAUUUGUUCUAUGCCUUCCUCAAGCUUCACCUCUUCUGUGAGCCUCCUGGGUGGGCUCCUUCUGGCUAAAUCUUCCUCCUCACUGUUGCCUUUUUAUCUUAUGCAAGCACCUGCCUUAUCUAAAGUUUCCAUGGGUCUGGAAUCCAGUAGAGCUGAGCUGAGUCAUUGCUUCAGUGUCUCUCAUGAGGCUUCAGUCAAGGUGCAGGCCAGGAUUGGGCUCUCAUCUGAAGUCUCUGCUGGGGAAGGAUCUGCUUCCAAACCCAUGGGACUGUUGGCAGGACUCAGUUCCCUAUGGGCUAUUGGCUGGAGAUGUGGGCCUUUCCAGCAUAACAUUCUGCUUCAUUAAAGCCAGUGAAGAAGAGAGUGUGCUAGCAAGAUGGAAGGCACAAUCUCCUGUAGUCUAAUCAUGGAAGUAACAGCCUGUCUCCUUUGCUAUAUUCUGUUGGUUAGAAGCAGUCACUAGGCCAGCCUACACUCAAGGAGAGAGACUAUGUGGUGGUGUGGAUACCCGAAGGUGGGGUCUUCAGAGACCAUCUGAGAGCCUGCCUGUCCCACUAGUUGUGUGACUUUGGGCAAUUACUGAAUUCUUCUCAUUUGUAACAUUGGUAUGAUAAUAAUAUCUUUAUAAAGUUGUUGUGAUUAAAUGAGCAUAUAUAAAACAGUGUUUGGCAAAUAAUAGGCCCUAUAUAAAUAUUUGCUUUUAUAGUUACCUAGACCGGUGUCUGGCACAUAGAGAAAGCACAGUAAACAUUGGUUGAAUCAAUGCAAUUGUAGUUCCAUUGCAGUUACAUGGAACAUGCUUUGGGAAGGCUGCCCUACUUAAGAAUGCUGCAAGGAUUAGAUGUGAUCAGCUAUGUGAAGCAUCUAGCACAGUCCCAGGCACAUGCUAGGUCCCCAGUCAAUGUUAGUUUCCCCUCCUACUUCCAGGUUUGGAUGUAGAGCUGAGAUUCAAAGCUUAAGAGAGGUCAGGUUCCAGCUUCUCCUUCUGUUCACCUCCUCCUUCUUUCCCUCCUUCUCUCUUUCCUUCUCUUCCUCCUUCCCUCCUACACCAAUAGUAAUUUUCUCGGUACAGUGCCUGGUUGGUGCCAUCAGCAGUUAAAUGCUUCAUAGUGGCUCUGGAUGAGGCUGGCAAUGACAAUUAAGUGUACUUCAGGGGCCUGGGUGGAGAUGGAAAUGAGGUGAAUGGGGGAAAAGAGAAUAAACGGCUAAGAAAGUGGAAAAAAAGACACAGAAAGGACCACUUUGAAGAGCAAUGUUAUUUUUUCUCUAUGUACCUAAGAGUUCUGAGAUGCUUUAAUAAUCACUGUUAGAAUCUUAAAAACACUUUUCCACGUUUUUCUUCCUUCUUAGCUUCCCUUAAUCACUAUAUUCAAAGCAGAUAU